rnacentral:rRNA from 1 species
UACGGAGGGUGCAAGCGUUGUCCGGAAUCACUGGGCGGAAAGGGCGCGUAGGCGGCUCAUGAAGGCUGUGGUGAAAGUCCGGGGCUCAACCUCGGAUCGGCCGUGGCGACUCGUGGGCUGGAGCACUGUAGAGGCGGGUGGAAUUCCGGGUGUAGCGGUGGAAUGCGUAGAGAUCCGGAAGAACACCAGUGGCGAAGGCGGCCCGCUGGGCAGUGGCUGACGCUGAGGCGCGACAGCGUGGGGAGCAAACAGG